GAGCUUACAAGGCAGGUGCAGCUCCACUGAGCUAAAUCCCUGGCCUGGUAGAGAGAUUUCUGACACUCAGGAAGACCAGAUUAUACCAGGAUUCAGGUUCCAUAAGACUACCAUCAUGUCAAAAUGCUACAGUCUACAACUCAUUGCUAUGGUUUGGUGCAAAGAAAGAAAGAAAGAAAGAAAGAAAGAAGAAAGAAAGGAAGAAAGGAAGGAAGAAGAAAGAAGAGAAGAGAAGAAAGGAAGAAAGAAAAAGAUGAAAGAUACACUGUAAUCUUAAAGGUAAAUAACUUCCAUCUGAAAGACAGUUUUGAGACUCAAAGCAUGUGGUCUAUGGAUGAUCAGUUGGGGGUUAUUUGAAUACAGGCUUUAUAUCAGAUGAUGGUAUUGUAUUGAUGUUGAUCUGGGAGUUUUUGCUUUGUUUGUUUAACUAUUUGAGAUUGAACCAGGGCCUUUGCACUGAGCUACAUCCCCAGGCCUGGUGUUUUGCUUUUGGUUUGUUUGCUUGUUUUGUUUUUUGUUUUGCUCUUGUGACAGUGUCUCGUUAAAUCACCAAAUUUCCCAGUCUAGGCUUAAACUUGCAAUCCUCCUGCCUCAGUCUUACCAGCUCAAUGCUUGCUUGGUUGCCUUCUCUUCCUUCCUUUCUUUCCUUUUCUUUUCUCUUUUCUUUUCUCUCCU
rnacentral:lncRNA from 1 species